CUGAGCGGCCGCCCCAAACCUGCCAGGGGCUCCCUCUCCCCUUCGGCCCCGAUUCCCCUUUCCCACUAGGGCUCCCCUCUGAUCACUGGCCCCCCUCACCCUAAGUCUGCAGCCACUAGGACCAGGGAGGGGUUGGGUUGCGGGGGUCCUCCUUCCUGCCCCUUGGCUCACCUCCCCCCAUCCACGCACCAGGAGCAGAGAGCCGGGAACUAAGAACAGGAGACCCAGAGAGGUGAUACCGGCCCCAAGCACCUGGGUCCUCAAGAAGAAUCACCGUUUCCGUGCCAGGAGGCUCUAAGGUGGGGAAACUGAGGCUGAGAAGGACGUUGACCAAGGUCACAGGGCAGGGACAGCAGGGCCUGGCCACAGCAGGCAUUCAGAAGACAUUGUGGCCCCAACCCCACACACACCGGAUCAGUUCUAGGGUUGGGACAGGGCCCAUCAGCCAAGCAGGUGGGUCCCAGAGGAGCUGGGAGACUUGGAGAGGGGGCUGCGCUACCCAGUGGAGCUGAGUCGCUCUAAUGAAGUGGACUAGCUGCAGGCCACAUUGAUUUCACGUCUCUGU
rnacentral:lncRNA from 1 species